UGCUAAAUGUGCCAAACUGACGGACCUGUUUGGUGCCGGGUUCACCAGCCCAGCAGCAGCAGGUGCGCCGGGAGACGAGCGAGGAGGACUCGACAAUGAUGAGCGAGUGGAGGCAGACGUGGUUGUUGUGAUAUAUUUGAGGAGUCGUUCUCCCUCUGUUUUAUAUGUGGACAUUUGGGACCACUGUUAGAAUUUGACAUUAUAAUGUAUCCAUGUCCUUCUCCGGUUGACCACUUGACAUGUGAGAGCCUGAGGAGUUGUUCCCCCUCUGUCCAUGUUCGAGGACUUGCUCUCUGUCUGCCUCCACUCUCUGCCUUCACUGUAC